ACAUGAUCUUCACACAGGUGACACAGUAGACUGACCACUGUAAGACACUACAUGGGGUACAGAUGACAUGAUCUUCACACAGGUGACACAGUAGACUGACCACUGUAAGACACUACAUGGGGCGCAGGUCACAUGAUCUUCACACGACAGGUGACACAGUAGACUGACCACUGUAAGACACUACAUUGGACGCAGGUCACAUGAUCUUCACACGACAGUUGACACAGUAGACUGACCACUGUAAGACACUACAUUGGACGCAGGUCACAUGAUCUUCACACGACAGGUGACACAGUAGACUGACCACUGUAAGACACUACCCGGGACGCAGGUCACAUGAUCUUCACACAGGUGACACAGUAGACUGACCACUGUAAGACACUACAUGGGGUACAGGUGACAUCACAGUAAGACUAUUCAAGAGAUGCAUGACGUCAUG